rnacentral:rRNA from 1 species
UACGUAGGGUGCAAGCGUUAAUCGGAAUUACUGGGCGUAAAGCGUGCGCAGGCGGUUUUGUAAGACAGGCGUGAAAUCCCCGGGCUUAACCUGGGAAUGGCGCUUGUGACUGCAAGGCUGGAGUGCGGCAGAGGGGGAUGGAAUUCCGCGUGUAGCAGUGAAAUGCGUAGAUAUGCGGAGGAACACCGAUGGCGAAGGCAAUCCCCUGGGCCUGCACUGACGCUCAUGCACGAAAGCGUGGGGAGCAAACAGG